AACGAACGCUGGCGGCAUGCCUAACACAUGCAAGUCGAACGAGACCUUCGGGUCUAGUGGCGCACGGGUGCGUAACGCGUGGGAACCUGCCCUUAGGUUCGGAAUAACUCCCCGAAAGGGGUGCUAAUACCGGAUAAUGUCUUCGGACCAAAGAUUUAUCGCCUUUGGAUGGGCCCGCGUUGGAUUAGCUAGUUGGUAGGGUAAAAGCCUACCAAGGCGACGAUCCAUAGCUGGUCUGAGAGGAUGAUCAGCCACACUGGGACUGAGACACGGCCCAGACUCCUACGGGAGGCAGCAGUGGGGAAUAUUGGACAAUGGGCGAAAGCCUGAUCCAGCAAUGCCGCGUGAGUGAUGAAGGCCUUAGGGUUGUAAAGCUCUUUUACCCGGGAUGAUAAUGACAGUACCGGGAGAAUAAGCUCCGGCUAACUCCGU
rnacentral:rRNA from 1 species